AGAUAUGAGGGCAGUCGGACUGUGAGUGGCUGACAUUUGGCUGGCCAGGAGGGUGUCCCUUUCCUGCCUCCUGGCUCCAUGUGCAUCCCUCCCGGAGCUGCGCUCCCAGUCAGAGAGGAUGACCAUCCUCCCUAGAGGAGGACUGGUCUUCUGUCAAGGAUGUAGGAGUAGCUGCACUCCCCUGCUAGAACCUCCAAACAAACUGUCAAGUUAAUAGGGUGUACAAUGAUAAAACAGCUUUUGAUAAGUUUUU
rnacentral:snRNA from 1 species